AAAAUUUAAUAGAUACUUUAUUAAAAAUGAUCCAUUUAAUGAUUAAAAAUUAAGAAAAAUACUGAGUUAAAUCUUUUAUAAAUAUCUUUAAUUUAUAUGUACUUAUUUACACUUGUGCUUCUUUUAAUUUUCCAAUUUUGUUAUAUUUUACUUAUCAGAGAUUGUAAUUUUUCCUAUUGUCAGAAUAUACAUGUUUGCUUGGUUUCGAACAUAUUUCGAGGGGUUUUAAUGUCUCUUUCACUUUGAUAUAUUAAAACACAUUUAAUCUUCACAACAACCUCAUGAAAUAGUUCUGUUGUUACCUUGCCAAAGAUUAUACACCUAAAAUAUGUCAGAGUUGAAAUUAUAAGAAUCUGGCUCCUGACCAUUGGCUUUGUCCCAGUAUACAGUAAUGGGUCUCUGAUAUUUGAUCUUUGAUAUAUGGACAGUAAUAGCAUUUAAUACUAAUGAUCUGUUCUUUUUGCACGUCUGCCUCAGUUUUGGAAGAAUAGUUUUGAUACAAUACUUUUUUAGCUGUAUUCAUUUCCAUCUCACAUAUGCUGUGGCCCCUGUAUGCUUGCCUGUUCGAAGUGUCUGUGAACUUUUGACCUAGUACUCUAAGGACAAAUUGUUUGGUAGGACAUUCUUAGGUCACAUUUUUCUCAGAACCUUGAGACAUUGCUUCAUUGUCUUCUGGCACUAAAGGUUGAAAUGGAAAAGUCUGAAGCCAGCCUAAUGAUUUUCCAUUGUCAAGGUCACUUACUUUUCCUCCCUGCAGGCUCAUAAUACGUUUUCUAGACUUUGAAUCUCAGUAACAUCACAAAUGAUGACUUGACCUUUACAUUUGUAUCAGUCUUUCCAGGAGAAGAAAACACAUUUUUUAAAAUUGUAGAUUAAUUGAUCAUCUUAAUUUCAGGGCAAAUCCCCGCUAGCAUAUGAAUUUUUAUUUCUGUUGAAUUCAUUGUAAUCGUUUUUUUCUGGAAUAAUAAUAAAGUUGUAUUGAAACUCAUUUUGGUUUGUUCCAUCAUCAUCAUUUUUCUCUCUAGUCUGUUGUUCACUAUUUUACCCUUUUCUGUAUAUUUUCUUAACUUUCUUACCCUUCCCAAUACCUUACCGCCACAUCAAUAGGGUUUCAAUAUAAAAACAACAAAUAACAAGUAAGAGCCAUAGACCCUACUUAGGGAAACCCAAAGGUAACAGGAAUUAAAAAAAAAAAACUGACAAAGAAACUAGAGAAAAUUGAAGCUUGUGCACCUACAGUUAUGGUAAACAUUAAACACAACCCAACUUGUAGCCAGAUUAACAUAAAACUUCACACUAAAAGCUUAAUUAAUUCAGUGCCUAAUAACCAAUACAUAUGUCUAGAUUUCAACAAAAAAUUACAAGGCAUUCUAAAAAACAAACCAAAAAAAUCUGACAAAGACAAAGCAAAACAAGUAACAAUAUGACUGUGAUAUGACAUAAAAUUUGAGGUUAUCAGAUAUUUAAAACAAUUAUGUUUACUUUGUUAAAGACUGUAUUGGAAAAAAGUCGACAAACUUGCAAGAAUAAAUGGGUAAUGUAAACAGAGGAUAGAAACUCCGAGAAUGAGUCAAAAGGAAAUUCUGGAAAUCACAGACACUGUAAUAGACAUGAAUAAUACUUUUGAUGCGCUUAUUAGCAGCCUAAACACGGCAAAGAAAAGAAGCAUUGAGCCUGAAGAUAUUCCAGUAGAAACUUCCAAAAGUGAAGUGCAAAGAGUAAAAAAAAAAUAUGUUAAAGAGACAGAAUGUGCAAGAAAUGUGGGAGAAUCACAAAAGGUAUAACAUAUGUAUAAUGGAAACAUCAGAAGGAAAGGAAGGACAGAAAGGGGCAGAAAAGGUAUUUGAAGUACUAAUAAUAGAAUUGUCCACAAUUAUUUAUAGAUGUCAAACUACAGACUCAAGAAACUUGGAGAACAACAAGCAGGAUAGAUACCCAAUAAAAUCUACACAUAGGCAAACAGCAGAAAACCAAAUACAAAGAGAAAAUCUUGAAAAAAUUCUUACACUGUAGAGGAAACAUCUUUUGAGGAAUGAGAAUUAUAUUCGACUUUUAGUCAGAAACCAUGCUGCCAAGAAGAUACUGGAAUGAAAUAUUUAAAGUUUUGAGGGGAAGAUACCCCAAGUCCUAGAAUUUUGUAUUUGUUUAAUAUAUAUUUCAAAAGUGAAGGAGAAAUAAACACAUUUUUAGCCAAAUGUAAACUGAGGAAAUCUAUUUUCUGUGGAUCUGCCUUGCAAGAAAUUUUGAAAGAAGUUUAGAGAGAAGGUGAUAUAGGUCAGAAACUUGGAUUACUUAAAGAUAGGAAGAGCAUAUAAGAAAAGGAAGAUAAACAAUAUCUUUUAUUUAUCUUACUCUUUAUUUAAUAGAUAAUGGUUUGUUUAAAUAAUCAUAGCAGUACUGUUUUAGGUGAUUACAGCAUAUGUACAAGUAAAAUAAAUGACAGCAAUUUAUAAAGGAUGGAAGGAAGGAGUUGGGAAUACUCUGCAUACAGCAGUUUUAUUUAUAAUCACUCAAAACUGGAAGCAGCCCUCUAAAGGUGAAUGUAUAAACAGUGGUAUAGCCAUACAAUGGACAUUAUCUAAUAAUUUUUUUUUAAAUUGGCCAUAAAGAAUCUUGGAAGAAAGGUGAAUACAUAUUGCUAAAUGAAAGAACCCAAUCUUAAAAGUCUAUGUAUUGUCUGAUUACAACCAAAUGACGUUCUGGAAAAGGGGUAUCUAUGGAGACAGUGAAGAGAUCAGUGGUUGCCAAGAGUUUAGAGAGAGUGGGUUGGGAUUAAGAAGUGAAGCAAACAGGAUUUCUAAGGCAGAGAAAAUAAUCUGUGUGUUGUUGUGAUGGUAGAUACAUGACAUUAUGAAUUUGCUAAAACCUAUGGCGUUGUACAGCGUAAAUGGUGAACCAUAAUGCAAACUAUGGACUUUGGUAAAUAACAUUGUGUUAAUAUUGGUACAUCUUUUGCCAAUGUUCACACUAAUGCAAGGUAUUAAGAAUAGAGGAAAUGUAUGCCAGGGAUAGGAUAGGGUAACAUGAAAAUCUUUGUACCACUUGCUCAAUUUUUCUAUAAAUCCAAAACCACUCAAAAAAUUAAAUAUUCAGUCCUUUCAUUUCCAAUAAAAGAUUAAUAGCUUAAAGGUCCCAUAAAAAAGAUUAAUAUAUUAAUUUACUCACUAAUUGGCCCUAUUUUUAUGUGUCUGUUCUACCUCAGAGUAUAUAGCUACUUGGAAUAUAUAGCUUGACAGAAUUCUGAUGUAGAAAGAACCUAGACUAUAUACACAGUAUUUUACCAGAUUAAAGAUCAACCAUGUUUUAAAAUGAGGUAAAUGUUAUGAUGGGUCCUACCUCUCCCACUGUUCCUACUUUCGUCAUGGAUGGGUUCCUACAUUAAUCUUCAGGAAUAACCCACACACUGUGUACAUUAUAUACCAAGUCGAGAAAUUUCAUCUCCUUCACAAAUAUUUGCUAAGGGAAAACAUUUGAAAUCAAAAGAGGCUUUUAUCAGAGCAGGAAGCUGGGUCACACAGUACAUUCAUGAUGUUCUUGGUAGAGAAUAUUUUCUAACUUUUAAGGUCUAUACAUGCAUAUAAAUGCCAGAAGUCUUAACACUUCCCUCCCAAGUUUUGGAAAUCUGAUGUUUGUUGGCUCUGCUACAAUUAAGAUCUAGUCUUCUCUUGGCUGAAGUUACUUUAUGUUGUCUAACUUGGUUAAAUCACUUGUUCUGGACUGAAUAAGUUAAUUCAUGUACUUGUUUAUAAGGUGAUAUAUUUUUCAUCUUGGCCUCCACAGCAGUAUAGGUGAAUUGGCUGUUUGCUCCAAACUUGAUUCUGAUCCCAGAAUGUCACCCAGCUUUCGCUCUUUCUGUGUUUCUAACGUUAAUUUUACUCUGGUGUUUGCAGCUUCACAUAGCAUUCAGUAUAGCUUUUAUAAGUUGCUAUUAAAAUUGUUCUUUCUUGUCUCAUAGGUUCCACAGUUAUAUUCAUUUUUAAAACUUUGUUUCUUUAUUUAGUUGCCAAAAUGAUUGACAAAAAAAUAUAAUAAAAAAAUAUACCUAGGAAAAAAGUAAAAAUGAUGUUUUAGAAAGUUUAUUAAUAAUUGAUGAAAAUUUUUAAAAGCAACCAUGUAAUAUAUUAGAUAGUAUGGACACCAAACCAAAAGAUUUAAUUCUAUUUAGUCUUUUUUUUAAAUUAUGAUUUCAAAUACCAAGUAAAUACCUCAAAGAAUCAGAAAUGCUUCUCUUUACAGAGAAAAUAUAGAACAUCUGUUUAUGACAGCUAAAGAUGUCUCCCAUUAAAGGACUAUAAAAUUUAUAUUUCUACUUAAUGUGUUGCUCUAAGUUUCUUUAAAUUGUCUACUGUGCAUCUUUUAUACUGUAGUUAUUUAAAAAAUCUUCUGAUAGCAUGGUUGAUAUCUAUAAUGAAGAAAUGACUCUGUGCUUAGAAUGAAAUAGAAAAAUAUUAACAUAUCUAAAAUAGUGGGGAGUUUUUGUUUUGGUUUGGGGGGGUUGUUUUUUUCAUUUUUUUAUUUUUGCUUUUUAGGACCACUGGUAUGGCGUAUGGAAGUCCCCAGGUUAGGGGUCCAAUCGGAGCUGCAGCUGUAGGCCUAUACCACAGCCGCAAAAUGCCAGAUCCAAGGCAUGGUCUGUGAUCUACGUCACAGCUCAUGGCAACACUGGAUUUUAACCCACCAAGUGAAGCCAGGGAUCGAACCCACAUCCUCAUGGUUGCUAGUUAGGUUCGUUUACACUGAGACAGGAGCUCCUGAAAUAUGUUUUCUGAUAUGGCCUAGUGCCUCUCCAACUUGACCUUAUCCUACCAUGUUCCCUGUUCACCAAAGUACAGCCAUAUCAGUCAUUCACUGCCCCCAAAACCUUGUGUUCUUUCCUAAUUCACAUGCUUCCCCAUAGUUCCCUUUGUCUUAUUUGCACUUUCCUAUCACCACCAAUCAUUUAUGUCUGGGGAGGCCUUCCUAACUCCCUAAACUCAAAAGCCUUCUUCUUCUUCUUCUUAUUCUCUAUAACAUCUUGCCUUAUUUUUCCACAUUUCUUAUUGAAUAUUUUGUAUUUAUUUAUCAUUAAAUUUAACUUCCAGAAAACUGGAUUUCCAUGGAAGCAUAAAUUAAAUUUUAUUUCCCUGCCAUCAGAUACGCAUUGCAUAGCUCUGUGUCUGGAACAAAGGAAGACUCCAAUUAAUGUUUGCGAAUAAAGAAAUUAUAAUUUCAAAAUUGAUAUUGUGUGUCCCGUCAGGACAUUCAGUUUUACUGAGUUGACUUAGUAUGGAAAUAUAAUACUAAUACAAAUUAGUAUAGAAAUAUCUGGAAUCUAACUAAAGAGCACCUGGGUUACUGUCUCCUGAUAUGGUCAAAAUGCUAUUUUGGAAAGAGUACUAGGUCCUGGUGAUUCUUCAGUACACCUUGUGCCAGUCCUUGAGUUGUUACCACUUACUGACCAUUUGGUUGACUGACACACAAUUCUGCCACUCAAUGGGUAAUUAUUGUUGGGUUUUUCAGUAUUUCAUAAGAAGCUUUCUUUCAUUCAAGAAGUCUUUAGUCCUGAUAUGCCAGGAUCCUGUAGGUCUUAGGGAACAAAAAUUAAUAAACGGGAGUUCCCGUUGUGACGCCACAGGAUAAGAGCACAACAGGGUGUCCCUGAGGAUGUGGGUUCCAUCCCUGGCCUUGCUCAGUGGAUUAAGGAUCUGGCACUGUCACAGUUGAGAUGUAGGUUGUGGAUGUGGCUCAGAUCUGGUGUUGCUAUGGCUGUGACAUAGGCUGGUAGCUGCAGCUCCAAUUUGACCCCUAGCUUGGGAACUUCCAUA
rnacentral:lncRNA from 1 species